rnacentral:misc_RNA from 1 species
GAUGAAGAACGUAGCGAAAUGCGAUAAGUAAUGUGAAUUGCAGAAUUCAGUGAAUCAUCGAAUCUUUGAACGCACAUUGCGCCCCUUGGUAUUCCGAGGGGCAUGCCUGUUCGAGCGUCAUUUCAACCCUCAAGCACAGCUUGGUCUUGGGCUUCGCCGCUAACCCGGCGGGUCUUAAAAUCAGUGGCGGUGCCGUCGGGCCCUGAGCGCAGUAAUCUCUCUCACUAUAGGGUCCCGGCGGAUGCUGGCCAGUAACCCCCAAUUUUCUAUGGUUGACCUCGGAUCAGGUAGGGAUACCCGCUGAACUUAAGCAUAUCAAUAAGCGGAGGA